GAUGAACGCUAGCUACAGGCUUAACACAUGCAAGUCGAGGGGAAACGACAUCGCAAGCUUGCUUUUGAUGGGCGUCGACCGGCGCACGGGUGAGUAACGCGUAUCCAACCUGCCCAUCACUUGGGAAUAACCUUGCGAAAGUAAGGCUAAUACCCAAUGACAUCCCACGAAGACAUCUGAAUGGGAUUAAAGAUUUAUCGGUGAUGGAUGGGGAUGCGUCUGAUUAGCUUGUUGGCGGGGUAACGGCCCACCAAGGCAACGAUCAGUAGGGGUUCUGAGAGGAAGGUCCCCCACAUUGGAACUGAGACACGGUCCAAACUCCUACGGGAGGCAGCAGUGAGGAAUAUUGGUCAAUGGGCGAGAGCCUGAACCAGCCAAGUAGCGUGCAGGAUGACGGCCCUAUGGGUUGUAAACUGCUUUUAUAAGGGAAUAAAGUGGGUCUCGUGAGACUUUUUGCAUGUACCUUAUGAAUAAGGACCGGCUAAUUCCGUG
rnacentral:rRNA from 1 species